GAGCGAGAAAAGGGGGGCAACUCCCUGAGUAAAGCGGCGCACGGGUGAGUAACACGUAGGAAUCUAUCCCGGGGUGGGGGAUAACAGUGGGAAACUACUGCUAAUACCGCAUGAUACCUGAGGGUCAAAGGCGCAAGUCGCCUUGGGAGGAGCCUGCGUCUGAUUAGCUUGUUGGUGGGGUAAAGGCCUACCAAGGCGACGAUCAGUAGCUGGUCUGAGAGGAUGAUCAGCCUCACUGGGACUGAGACACGGCCCAGACUCCUACGGGAGGCAGCAGUGGGGAAUAUUGGACAAUGGGCGCAAGCCUGAUCCAGCCAUGCCGCGUGGGUGAUGAAGGCCCUAGGGUUGUAAAGCCCUUUCGGCGGGGAAGAUAAUGACGGUACCCGCAGAAGAAGCCCCGGCUAACUUCGUG
rnacentral:rRNA from 1 species